GGCUCAGGAUGAACGCUGGCGGCGUGCUUAACACAUGCAAGUCGAACGGUGAAGCCAAGCUUGCUUGGUGGAUCAGUGGCGAACGGGUGAGUAACACGUGAGCAACCUGCCCUGGACUCUGGGAUAAGCGCUGGAAACGGCGUCUAAUACUGGAUAUGAGCCCCUAUCGCAUGGUGGGGGUUGGAAAGAUUUUUUGGUCUGGGAUGGGCUCGCGGCCUAUCAGCUUGUUGGUGAGGUAAUGGCUCACCAAGGCGUCGACGGGUAGCCGGCCUGAGAGGGUGACCGGCCACACUGGGACUGAGACACGGCCCAGACUCCUACGGGAGGCAGCAGUGGGGAAUAUUGCACAAUGGGCGGAAGCCUGAUGCAGCAACGCCGCGUGAGGGAUGACGGCCUUCGGGUUGUAAACCUCUUUUAGCAGGGAAGAAGCGAGAGUGACGGUACCUGCAGAAAAAGCGCCGGCUAACUACGUGCCAGCAGCCGCGGUAAUACGUAGGGCGCAAGCGUUAUCCGGAAUUAUUGGGCGUAAAGAGCUCGUAGGCGGUUUGUCGCGUCUGCUGUGAAAUCCCGAGGCUCAACCUCGGGCCUGCAGUGGGUACGGGCAGACUAGAGUGCGGUAGGGGAGAUUGGAAUUCCUGGUGUAGCGGUGGAAUGCGCAGAUAUCAGGAGGAACACCGAUGGCGAAGGCAGAUCUCUGGGCCGUAACUGACGCUGAGGAGCGAAAGGGUGGGGAGCAAACAGGCUUAGAUACCCUGGUAGUCCACCCCGUAAACGUUGGGAACUAGUUGUGGGGACCAUUCCACGGU
rnacentral:rRNA from 1 species